GCCCGGCUGGCUCAGUCAGCAGAGCAUGUGACUCUCAGUUUCAGGGUUGUGAGUUCAAGCCCCAUGUUGGGCA
rnacentral:tRNA from 1 species